UCUCUUUCUCUCUUUCCCGUUGCGCGCUCUCUUUCUUUCUCGUCCGUAGCUAGGUGCGCAGCGGUGCACAAGGGCGUUCGUUCCCGACGCGCGCUCUCUUUCUCUCGUUCCCGUUGCGCGCUCUCUUUCUUUCUCGUCCGUAGCUAGGGGCUCUGCGGUGCACAAGGGCGUUCGUUCCCGACGCGCGUUCUCUUUCUCUCUUUCCCGUUGCGCGCUCUCUUUCUUUCUCGUCCGUAGCUAGGGGCGCUGCAUUGCACAAGGGCGUUCGUUCCCGACGCGCUCUCUCUUUAUCUCUCGUCCGUAGCUGUGGAUUACCACAAUGAUCCCCCGGUGCUUCGCCCACUCAUCAUCAUUCACUUCGUGGAUAUGCUGUGAUU